UAGGUGUGGUUGGCUUUUCUGAUUGUGCG
rnacentral:piRNA from 1 species